rnacentral:lncRNA from 10 species
UUCAUACUUAAAACAAUAUUCUAUGCAAAAUGCUAUAAUUUCCCCUUGCCUCCAAUUUACACAUGAUAAAACUGAGCCUAGUAAAAUUAAGUAUCAUGCCCCAAAGUUCUCUGCUUAGUAAGAAGUAGAGGCAAGCCCAAACCUAAGUCAUCUGAUUUCAGAGCCCAUACAGUUAAAUGCUCUAAAUGCAGCUUCCCGUGAUGAUGGUGACUAUGAGAGCCUGUCACAUGAUGUAGGACAGUGCUUCCCUGUAACAUGUGCAAGAUUCCCGUGAUGAUGGUGACUAUGAGAGCCUGUCACAUAUGAUGUAGGACAGUGCUUCCCUGUAACAUGUGCAAGAUUCCCAUGAUGAUGGUGACUAUGAGAGCCUGUCACAUAGGAUGUAGGACAGUGCUUCCCUGUAACAUGCACAAGAUUCACCCAGGGAUCUCUUUAAAAUGCAAAACCAUAGACCACACUUUGACUGGCUUGGAUAAGGGGUCAGAGCAUCGAAAUGAGUGUGUAGGUGACUGUGCUAAAAUUCUCCUGCUCAUGUGGGCACUGGCUCAUGAUAUUAACAAAGCUUAGGACCUCUAGUCCUUUCUGGAAAGAAAAUACACAUACAUAGCAUGUGACUGUGCAUAUGGAAUAUCUGUUGUGUUCUGGACAUUGUGCUGGACAACAGAGAUAAGAAGUCAAAUAUCCCUUGUCUCUAUCUGAAAGGAGCUUCC